rnacentral:lncRNA from 1 species
AGAUGCAAACUAUUGUAUCUGGAGUGGAUAAGCAAUGAGAUCCUGCUGCAUAGCACAGGCAACUAUAUCUAGUCACUUGAGAUGGAAGAUGUUGGAGGAUAAUGUCAAAAAAAGAAUUUAUGUGUAUGUGUGACUGGGUCACUUUGCUGUACAGUAGAAAAUGACAGAAUGCUGUAAACCAACUAUAAUGAAAAAAAAUAAAAACCAUUAAAAAAAUGUGACCUCAGAUUCACAUGUGCAUUUAGUUAGUGAGGCCAAACCAGAUUUGGUUUCACAUUUUCUUAGGUAUUUUGAAAAUGUCAUCAAAAAUUAAAAUUCUUAACUUUUCCUUUGCUGUGUAUUACUGUUUUAUUACCUGAAUUUUCUGGGAUGAGGCCAAGAACUCUUAAAAAUUUCUUUUGUGUUCUGUGAGCUUAUAUGUCCACUAGAGGGUGCAUUUUACUCUUUUUUGACAAAAGUUUGUCUAUUGUAAUUGUGUAUUCAGUUUCAUGUGUUAACAACCAUCAGUAAGCAAAUUCCUUAAACAUGGACACUAGGAGACUGUCAUAGAAAAAUCUUAGCUCAUUAACAUGAAGCAACUAUAUGAUGAUUAAAAUAGUGGCCUCGACAUUGAACUCUAGUGGAGCACCAUGGGGUAGGGAUGCUUAGGGAAGCUUCAUGGGCAGUAUUGGACCUGGUGAGGCAUUGAACAGUCAGCCAGAGUCAAAUAGGGUAGUACAGUAGUUCUCAAACUUCUUGAUCUUGGACCCUCUCUACUCUGCUAGAAAUUAAGGUCCUUAAAGACAUUUGUUUUAGGUGGAUGGGUUAUAGGUAUCAGUAUUCGAUAGACGAGCAAAUAAAACAGAUAACUUUGAAAAUAUUUAUUUACUAUUUCAUUUACAAAUAAUAGUGGUAGGAGUUCCCGUCAUGGCUCAGCAUAUGUGAGUCAGACUGGGAACCAUGAGGUUAUGGGUUCAAUCCCUGGUCUUGCUUAGUGGAUUAAGGAUCCGGCAUUGCCGUGACCUGUGGUAUAGGUUGUGGCUUGGAUCUGGUGUGACUGUGGCUGUGGCGUAGGCCAGCGGCUACAACUCCGAUUAGACCCCUAGCCUCCUUAUGCCGUGAGUGCAGCCCUAAAAAGACAAAGACCAAAAAAAAAAAAAAAAAGUGGUAAGUGGAUACUUGUCAAUAUGAAUGACAUUUUUUUCCAAUAAAAAUAACUAUUUCAGAGUUCCUGUCAUGGUGCAGUGGAAACGAAUCUGAGUAGGAACCAUGAGGCUGCAGGGGCAAUCCCUGGCCUUGCUCAGUGGGUUAAGGAUCUGGCAUUGCCAUGAGCUGUUGUGUAGGUCGCAGAUGUGGCUUGGAUCCCACGUUGCUGUGGCUGUGGUGUAGGCCAGCAGCUGUAGCUCUGAUUAGACCCCUAGCCUGGGAAACUUCAUAUUCUGCAGGGUGCAGCCCUAAAAAGACCCCCCCCCAAAAAAACCCCAAAAAAACCCAAACUAUUUUUCUGAAACAAAAGCGCUAGCAAGAAGGAUGGUAUUAUUUUAAAUGUUUGAAGCUUUCUUUACUGUCUGGCUUAAUAGCUAAGAUUCUCAUCUGCUUUUGCAUUUAAUCUCUUGGAAUAGGUUGCUUUGGUUGAAGUAUCUAAAGAUACUUAGCCUUGUGCAGACACGAGGUUGGAGAAGAGAGGAAAGUUUUGAUAGCUUUUCUAAUAAUUAUGGUUAUGUGAUUCUGCACCCAGACUCUCAAAUGGUAGUAUCUUAAGGGUUACUUACAAUGUGGAACCUGAAACUAAUCAGUGAACUUUAAUUUGUUUCACUAAAAUAUCCAUUGGUCCAUGGAUUUCCCUUGUGGUGCAGCAGGUGAAGGAUCUGGCGCUGUUACUGCCAUGGCUUAAGUUCAAUCUCUGACCCAGGAACUUCCACAUGCUGCAGGUAUAGCGCCUCCCCCCACCCCCCAAAUCCAUCAGUCUGCCUUGGAUUUUGAAGGACUCUUACCCAUGCAUGAUUUUGGUUCAUUCAGCUAGGUGAACCUUCCAAAUAUUGACAUGAUAAGAGAAAAAUCACAUUGGUUAAUAUCACUGCUGAUUUUAUUAGAAAAGGGUUUCAGUAUUGGGAAUUUGUCAAGUUCUUGGUAAUAGAUAGACAUUUUCCAAAAAUUUAAUUUCCAUUCGAAAGCUUAAAUUUUAUCAUUAUCAAUAAAUACUAACAGUUUUCCUUGAAUUGACAGGCUCACUUCAUUUAUUUUAAGAAAAUAUUUGUGAAGUAUGCAAGUUUGAGUAACUGUUGUUAGUGACUUUUUUUCAAGUAGAAACGGGGUUCCAUGAAAGAAAAAAGCUAGUUCAGUUCAUAAGUAACUUUCCUUGGGCGUUCCCAUUGUGGCUCAGUGGUUAACAAAUCUGACUAGGAACCAUGAGGUUGCAGGUUUGAUCCCUGGCCUCUCUCAGUGGGUUAAGGAUCAGCAUUGCUGUGAGCUGUGGUGUAGGUUGCAGACACGGCUCAGAUCCCGUGUUGCUAUGGCUCUGGCGUAGGCUGGCGGCUGCAGUCCAAUUCGACCCCUAGCCUGGGAACCUCCAUUUGCCGUGGGAGUGGCCCAAGAAAUGGCAAAAAG